UGGUCCAAGGGCUCUCCGAGUCUGACACAUUAAAUUGUCUUUCUUUCUGAAGCUCGUCCUGUGUGAAUUCACCCGCAGAUAUUUGUCGAUAGCUCUUCUUGGAUGCCACUUCUAAGGCGCUGAGGUCCUCUAGGUUCAGACUGACAGCUUUGCAUGGUAAAUCCGCACCUGCCAGAGAUGAACUAGUAAAUCUGGUCUUUAUGACAUCAUCUGUUGGCUGACGCCCCGUAACGUUUUCUCUGGCUCUACAGACAUCCUUCAUUGACCGCCCCUGGGUGUCUACAUUCAUCAGGGACGAGCGUUCAGCGCUGGAGGUUUCUGGUUCUCUGGCUCCGUAGACACCCUUCACUGACCACCCUUGGGUUUCAACGUUCUUCUCUGGCAGCUUCUUCUGUAUUUCUUCAUUGCUGUGCUCAGUUGCCUCAGUGAUGUCCUUUGAUGUUUCCGCUUAUAAUAAUAAAGGAGAAAUGACUUCAGCACACAGUUCACCAGACACUGAGGCUGAAGAGAGAAAACAGGCCACGCAGAAGUAGAAUUGCAGAACCUGCUGAAUAUCAAGUUUUUAUAUUCAGCCCACAGAAGGAAGAUUAAAUAGUGUUGAGGAGACUCGUUCAAUCAACCAAAAAUCGUUCAGGCAAGCAUCUCCUACAGGACAGGGGAACCGAUUCAAGUU
rnacentral:lncRNA from 1 species